GGUGACCUGCGGAAGGAUCAUUAU
rnacentral:rRNA from 1 species